UGAACGCUGGCGGCAGGCCUAACACAUGCAAGUCGAGCGGUAGCACAGAGAGCUUGCUCUCGGGUGACGAGCGGCGGACGGGUGAGUAAUGUCUGGGAAACUGCCUGAUGGAGGGGGAUAACUACUGGAAACGGUAGCUAAUACCGCAUAAUGUCGCAAGACCAAAGUGGGGGACCUUCGGGCCUCAUGCCAUCAGAUGUGCCCAGAUGGGAUUAGCUAGUAGGUGGGGUAACGGCUCACCUAGGCGACGAUCCCUAGCUGGUCUGAGAGGAUGACCAGCCACACUGGAACUGAGACACGGUCCAGACUCCUACGGGAGGCAGCAGUGGGGAAUAUUGCACAAUGGGCGCAAGCCUGAUGCAGCCAUGCCGCGUGUGUGAAGAAGGCCUUCGGGUUGUAAAGCACUUUCAGCGGGGAGGAAGGCGGUAAGGUUAAUAACCUCAUCGAUUGACGUUACCCGCAGAAGAAGCACCGGCUAACUCCGUGCCAGCAGCCGCGGUAAUACGGAGGGUGCAAGCGUUAAUCGGAAUUACUGGGCGUAAAGCGCACGCAGGCGGUCUGUCAAGUCGGAUGUGAAAUCCCCGGGCUCAACCUGGGAACUGCAUUCGAAACUGGCAGGCUAGAGUCUUGUAGAGGGGGGUAGAAUUCCAGGUGUAGCGGUGAAAUGCGUAGAGAUCUGGAGGAAUACCGGUGGCGAAGGCGGCCCCCUGGACAAAGACUGACGCUCAGGUGCGAAAGCGUGGGGAGCAAACAGGAUUAGAUACCCUGGUAGUCCACGCCGUAAACGAUGUCGAUUUGGAGGUUGUGCCCUUGAGGCGUGGCUUCCGGAGCUAACGCGUUAAAUCGACCGCCUGGGGAGUACGGCCGCAAGGUUAAAACUCAAAUGAAUUGACGGGGGCCCGCACAAGCGGUGGAGCAUGUGGUUUAAUUCGAUGCAACGCGAAGAACCUUACCUGGUCUUGACAUCCACAGAACUUUCCAGAGAUGGAUUGGUGCCUUCGGGAACUGUGAGACAGGUGCUGCAUGGCUGUCGUCAGCUCGUGUUGUGAAAUGUUGGGUUAAGUCCCGCAACGAGCGCAACCCUUAUCCUUUGUUGCCAGCGGUCCGGCCGGGAACUCAAAGGAGACUGCCAGUGAUAAACUGGAGGAAGGUGGGGAUGACGUCAAGUCAUCAUGGCCCUUACGACCAGGGCUACACACGUGCUACAAUGGCAUAUACAAAGAGAAGCGACCUCGCGAGAGCAAGCGGACCUCAUAAAGUAUGUCGUAGUCCGGAUUGGAGUCUGCAACUCGACUCCAUGAAGUCGGAAUCGCUAGUAAUCGUAGAUCAGAAUGCUACGGUGAAUACGUUCCCGGGCCUUGUACACACCGCCCGUCACACCAUGGGAGUGGGUUGCAAAAGAAGUAGGUAGCUUAACCUUCGGGAGGGCGCUUACCACUUUGUGAUUCAUGACUGGGGUGAAGUCGUAACAAGGUAACCGUAGGGGAACCUGCG
rnacentral:rRNA from 1 species